rnacentral:rRNA from 1 species
GACGAACGCUGGCGGCGUGCUUAACACAUGCAAGUCGAACGGAAAGGCCCUGCUUGUCGGGUAUUCGCGUGGCGAAAGCGUGAGUAUCACGUGGGAGUACUGUGCCGUACUUUGUGAUAAGCCUGGGAAACUGGGUCUCUUACCCGAUAGGAGAGCUUCUUCGUGUGAUGGUUGGUUGGAUUUUUCGGUGUAGGAUGAGUUCGCGGCCUAUUAGUUUGUUUGUUGGGUAAUGGCCUACCAAGGCGGGGUUGGGCAGGCGGCCUGCGAGGGUGGACGGCCACAUUGGGACUGGGAAACGGGCCAGACCCCUUCGGGGAGCAGCAAUUGGGAAAAAUGCACAAUGGGCGGGAACCUGAAGCAGCGACGCCGGGUGGGGGAUGACGGCCUUCGGGUUGGAAACUCCUUUCGCUAUGGACGAAACUUUUUGUGACGGUAAUGGGAAAAGAAGCACCGGCUAACUACGUG